UCAGUUAGGGAGGUGAGGGGAGCUCGGGGCGAGGGGAGGAGGGGACGGGAGUAGACGCGGCGGAGGAGGAGGGAACGCAGGCGGAUGAGGGGGGACGUAGCGGCGGAGGAGGGGAAGAGGGGACGAGUGGUGAUUCGGCGGAGGAGACGGGGAAGUGAAAAGAGAGGACGCCGCCGCUGCUGGACGUCCGUUUUCCGCUGCGACUGCCACGAGCUAAGCUAGACGUCCUCUCUCUCUUCUAUUCUCCCUCUCUCUCUCUUCCUUCCUCUCCUCCCUCUUGAGGCAACGGCGGCGCACGGCACGAAGACCUAGCUGGCGACGGACUGGUUCCCUAUUCUCAUACUCCAUUUUUGAUUUUUGGGAUCGGUGGUACGAGGACACACCCGACGUAGGGGUGUAGAGGACAAAGUAAUAAAGUGGUAGCGACGGAGAAGAGGAGAAGCAACGAGACGAAGAAGGGGACUAAGGAGAAAAAGUAAAAAAGAGAAAUACCGUGGCGGCCCCUACUCUCCUCGUCGACGACUUCGUCCGCGCCGCGACCACGUGACGACCGCUUCGCCAGCAGUUGCCACAGCAGCUGCAGCAGGAACCGUCUUCGAAGUAGCCGCAGUCGAAGUAGUGGUUCUCCUGCCUGAGGCUUUCCGUUGGAGGAGGGUUCCGCGGUCCUGGCCAUUGAGGGCCUUGCAGGUAGGAAGGAAGGUAAUAAAAGACCACUACGCGGCAAUCCCAAGCACAAGUAACGGUAAAACCUAAGUAUACACUUCAGAUAACAACAAUUAAUGUAAAUUGAUUAAAGAAUUAAGUACCAACAAAAUCAACGACUGGUAUACUAACCAUCGUAACCUGUCUUCUCCCGGUCGUUGUUUGUCUUCGUUGGUGAUAGGAGAGGUCUUGUACAUAUAGAAGUCAAAACCAACGGCAAGCAAAUGAACGGUUGUUCGCUGUGACUCGAGUGUAUAAAUGACAAACGAAACAAUAUAUGAAUUAGACGAUCUGUUUCACAUUUUCCCUUUAAGUACGAGCUGUUAAAACAUAUAAAUAUUUGGAUCUACGGUGAGAUUAACCAAAAUGAAGAAGGUAUAUAAAAAGAGGAGGGUCACACAUAUUUAUCACGUGUUUCAAUUAAAGAAAAGGAAGAGCUGGCGUAGAUUAAAAUUUCUUCAAUCUCCUUAGACUCUCUAUGUGUUGGUCUUCUUAAAACAAAGAAACUGAAAAGCUGGCACAGAUUGAAAACCAUUUUCUCUCUCCUUAAACUCUAUCUAUCUGUUGGACUUCUCGAAACUUGUUGAAACUUGCAAACUCAUACGGCGGCCGGAGGAGUGGCGGCGACAGCGCACCGACCGUGGUCACACACACCGUCGACGACUCUACCCGCGUCAAAUGAGGGCCAAGGCACUACCACAACUUUUCGUGGAAUUGACUCGGUUCCUUAAAUCAUCGUAACACCCUACUAAUUGGUUUUAAACAGGAGAAGGAUAUGAUAGAAGAGUAUAAUAUUAAAACCACAGGACCAUCCGUCCCUAGUCGAAACCACCGUAGGCUACGAGCGUUCGGUACCGCAAUCUCGUCUCCUUCGACUGUACCACAACUUUAAGUCUACCAGUAACACUAGCUGGUCUACGACGCGGAGUACAGUGGGGCUCGGAGGUCCCGAACAAUCGCCACGUUCACGAGCAAAGGGUAUACGAACGUUCACGAGCAAAGGGUAUACGAACGGGUGAGGACAGAGCGUAGUUAGAAAGUAAAUAAAGGGAUUUUAAGGAGAUUAAAACAACACACGUACAGAUUCUUUCUUUAUUCUCCUUAUUCGAUACCAUGCAGAACCGCUUCAUGUAAUAAAGGGACCGAACACUUUAAUUACGCGGGUUUAAGCGCAUGUCAGACCAAAGCCUGAUUGUUACCGAGCAACACAAUAUAACGUUGAUUUUUUUCUCUACCUGUAUUAUUUCUUCGAACCACUUGUUUAUAUAUAGACUUGGGAGAUGUGUUAUAUCUACGAUAUUAAAAACCAUUUACCUUCAAUCUAGGUCUAAGAAUUUUUAUAAUAGGAAGUCAGAAUAUGUAUGUUCCAUGACAGGACCGUACCUAUAUCGGACGUUGGGCGUAGAGAUUUGUUGCGUUUGGAUAGGUGUUAGUAUUUGAACACAUAACUAGGAGAUAAGCCUAAAGAAUAAUCGAGUAAGAUCGGACAUACUUGAAAAACACAAACGCUGUAACCGGGUUACGUAAAGCCAGCUAUAUAUACACUACGGUAACCAACCGGACCUAGCCUAUCGAUCCAAACUAGCCAAGCCAAUUAUAUACAAAUACAAAACCAAAUCCAAAGUCGUGGAAAACUACGCACACGUACGACGGUAACUCAUUGAACUACACAAAAGGACCGAUAAGAUAAACGUAAGUGUUCAUAUCCUAUCAGUAAAACUAAGUCAAUUCUAUACAAGUCUAAAGACAAAUCUAAAACCGUGGAAGAUUUACACGAUGGUACCCCAUCGGACCCAGAUAAAAUUACCGUUAUCCUGGACGUUCACGUACCGGGUGAAGAUUAUCAGGAUCUUCGCUGGCUUUAACAACGAUAAAACUGAAACAGACGAUGUACCUGACGACAAGACUAGAGAUACAAAAGGGCAACGAAGUAAGUCAUACAGGUGCAGUUUGGUCUUUACUGUACGUAAACAUACUACUAUCGAAUCGUGAGCUACUAUUUACACUACAACAAAAUACAAUUACACUUUGGGCUAGAUAGCCAACAAUCAAACUUAGUCAUGGGUUCGGUAGGAGGAGUGACGGGAGGAGAAUCUAUAAAUCCAUCAAGAAGGAAGAACCAUUGUUACUCUUUUGUUAAUCCAACCAAUGUGUCAUAUGAAGUACUAACGUCAUCCGUGUUUUACGAACCGUCUGAUUUUAUUGAGUAAAGAUAAUAGUUCGAGAUUCACAUAUAACUCUACGGAAACAUGUUACUUUCUAGGUACCCCAACAUCCAAACAAACGAACAUCUAAAAGCACGUCUAUAAACUUAACACGUUUAUAAAUUAAACUCAAUAUUAAACAACAGAGAGCUACAGCGAUUAAAACAUACUCGACAUCCACUGGUAGUAGUACAAGAAAGAUACAAAAUAUCUGUUACAAAAGAAAGAUUAUAAAUCAAAAUAAGGUUCUAAUUACUACGAAAGUGAGAUAAAAGUCUAACUGUUAAAGGCGGCUGGGAACAACGUGAGUUACUACCAACUACGGUUGCACCAGGUAAUCGUAGGACCAACACCAAGAAUCAGGACCAAACUUCUCGACGAGACAAACAAACACGACCGUUGUAGAUACGCCAGUUCGAGUCCGGAGGUUUCUUGUAGAGACGUUUGAGUUCUAAAAAACAGUAACAAGUUAAGGUCUGGCUCCGUGUACGAAGCGACCACAACUUACGCCGGAUUCCCUUACGUGAAUGCUCACGUUCAUGAAUAGACUUCUAAGUUAUACGUCUCGCACUGUAACAAGGCUCUGGUUCUUGCUACUACAAAUUAGAUGUCCCACGUUGUGACGUAAAACCGACGGAAUACUCCCUUUCUCAAGAUAGAUAAGACACCUCGCCUUCCCUACAAAGACAACUCAAACCUAAACGGUUCUGCCUCCGGUGGCGGUGAGAGCUGCGGGAGACAACGUGCGAGAGCGGCCGCCGCAAGCGUUUCGGAACAGCACCGCGACGUUCACAACGGGGGGAGGAGGGGUUCCCGUUCCACUUCCUUCCACGGACACACCAAGAAGACGUCGAGCGUCGCUCCUAACGACACAGGUUGGACGUGUUCUUACGGUUCUUCAGGAAGAGCCUCUACAUUUGGUGCCGCGUACAAAGACGGUACUAAAGGAAGCCGACCUAAAGUACCUAAAUCCACAACUUUUUAAUACCCGAGAGCUACGUCCUAAUUCCUGUACAUGGACGUGAUGUUGCUCUCUAGACCCGAUAUAGAAACACCGAAGGUUUGAACUUUACAAACGAACCUUCAAUCAAAUCAAAAGACAACACCUAAGUGUCGAAGAGUGUACAUUUAGGAAAAUUCACAACACUAGGUAACAGAUCUAAAAAAAGGAAC
rnacentral:rRNA from 1 species